UUCCUGGUGGUCCAGUGGCUAAGACUCCGAGCUCCUAAUUUAGGGGGCCUAGGUUCAAUCCCUGGUCAGGGAA
rnacentral:tRNA from 1 species